GUAUGGUGGGCUGGCUACUGGCUCGUAUGGUGGGCUGGCUACUGGCUCGUAUGGUGGGCUGGCUACUGGCUCGUAUGGUGGGCUGGCUACUGGCUCGCAUGGUGGGCUGGCUACUGGCUCGCAUGGUGGGGCUGGCUACUGGCUCGCAUGGUGGGGCUGGCUACUGGCUCGCAUGGUGGGGCUGGCUACUGGCUCGCAUGGUGGGGCUGGCUACUGGCUCGCAUGGUGGGGCUGGCUACUGGCUCGCAUGGUGGGGCUGGCUACUGGCUCGCAUGGUGGGGCUGGCUACUUGCUCGUAUGUUGGGGCUGGCUACUGGCUCGCAUGGUGGGGCUGGCUACUGGCUCGUAUGGUGGGGCUGGCUACUGGCUCGCAUGGUGGGGCUGGCUACUGGCUCGCAUGGUGGGCGGGCGGCCGCUCAAGGUCAGUUUUGUUUUUCAGCAGAGAGGACCAGGCACCACCUCUCCCAGCUCAAUUAUGUGACGACCCUGACUGUGUUUUGAAACAGUGCUUGCCUCGAAUGUCAGGGAUGUCAACCGCCAUCACGAGGGCGCAGGACUUAGAGCUUGCUAUAGUUUUAGUGGGCGUGAAACGCAGAGCCAUGCCGAGGGGGAAGGAGGGAGGGAAGGGGGUGUUUAUGUUCGACGUGAAAGAGGAGCUAGAUCCCCACCAUCCGACUAUGUGCCAUGCCCCCUUCUGGCAACCCGAUAAGGCACUUUAUGACACUUACAUGACACUUAGCUUAUAGGGUGUUACAUAUUAUAACACGUGAAGUGCACAUUUCUUUCAGCUGGACUGAAUUUCUAAGUUUAGCCGCUGCUGUGUCAAGCUAUUGAAUUUUUUAUUUUAUUAUAAUUUUUUUUGAAUAGAUGUGGUACUAAUAUUUUCAUCUCAUGUUCUCUUGUUGCUAUGUUGUACAGUAUGGACUGCAGCUACCGCCAAAUGGAGUGCUAUGUUGCUAUGUUGCUAGUGUAGGAACUAUCUGUUUAGUUUUGCAGUUGUACAUGUGUUGUACAUAUUUUGCAAAUAUGUUUAACAUUAAACAUUAUAUUAAACACCACAACCCCCCG
ensembl:lncRNA